GACGAACGCUGGCGGCGUGCUUAACACAUGCAAGUCGAACGGAAAGGCCCUGCUUUUGUGGGGUGCUCGAGUGGCGAACGGGUGAGUAACACGUGAGUAACCUGCCCUUGACUUUGGGAUAACUUCAGGAAACUGGGGCUAAUACCGGAUAGGAGCUCCUGCUGCAUGGUGGGGGUUGGAAAGUUUCGGCGGUUGGGGAUGGACUCGCGGCUUAUCAGCUUGUGGGGGGGGUAGUGGCUUACCAAGGCUUUGACGGGUAGCCGGCCUGGGAGGGUGACCGGCCACAUUGGGCCUGCGAUACGGCCCAGACUCCUACGGGAGGCAGCAGUGGGGAAUAUUGCACAAUGGGCGGAAGCCUGAUGCAGCAACGCCGCGUGCGGGAUGACGGCCUUCGGGUUGUAAACCGCUUUCGCCUGUGACGAAGCGUGAGUGACGGUAAUGGGUAAAGAAGCACCGGCUAACUACGUG
rnacentral:rRNA from 1 species